GACAGGGAGAAGACACAUUGACGUGAGGAGUCGGAAAGAGAGGAAGUGGUGAGAAGACAAUGAGCAUGGUGACGAAGAGAACAUCCUGGUGAGCCAGUCAUCAGGGAACUCUCCACGCUGAAAGGGCACUGAGACACCGAUGCCCGGGCCUCAAAUCGUUUCCUGUCCCAGAGCAGUGAUAGCCUCCUGCCACCUCCCUGCUGUCCAUCCUCCACCCAGAGGCCAGCCAGUACGAUCUUUUUGCAAAUGUGAAGCACAUCACGUCACUUCUCUGCUGGAAAGUCACCAAGAGCUCCUCUUCCCGUUUAGAAUCCCAUCCAACCUCUCCUUCCUGUCUCCCCUCACUCAUGCUGCGCCGUUCUCAGCCUUGGAGCCUGGCACUAUAGAGUUCCUCUGCCAGGGAGGUCUGCCUUCAGGUCAUCACGUGAUCCAACUCCUCACAUCAUAGAGAGCUUGGCUCCACUCCUACCUCCACAGAGAAGCCUUCCCUGACCACUCUGUCUAACCUAGAGCCCUCGGCAUCAUCAGCAAGUCUACGCUCCACUCUAUUUUCUUCCUAACACCAGGUACCACCCGAAGUUAUUUUUAUUUGUCUGUCUCCUCUGCCAGACUACAAGCUCUGGAAGGCAGAGACGACAUUUAUCUUGUCACUGCUGAAUCCUCACCGCCAGGACGGUG